CAGUCUCAGCCUCAGUCUCAGUCUCAGUCUCAUCUCAGUCUCGGUCUCGGUCUCGGUCUCGGUCUCGGUCUCGGUCUCGGUCUCGGCCUCGGCCUCAGUCUCAGUCUCAGUCUCAGUCUCAGUCUCAGUCUCAGUCUCAUCUCAGUCUCAGUCUCAGCCUCAGUCUCAGUCUCAGUCUCAGUCUCAGUCUCAGUCUCAGUCUCAGUCUCAGUCUCAGUCUCCUGUCAGUCUCAGUCUCAGUCUCAGUCUCAGUCUCAGUCUCAGUCUCAGUCUCAGUCUCAGUCUCAGUCUCGGCCUCAGUCUCAGUCUCAGUCUCCUCAGUCUCAGUCUCAGUCUCAGUCUCAGUCUCCUUCUCAGUCUCAGUCUCAGUCUCAGUCUCAGUCUCAGUCUCAGUCUCAGUCUCAGUCUCAGUCUCAGUCUCAGUCUCUGAGCCCUGUUCUCCUUCUCUCUGCUCUCCUGGUCUUGUUUUAUAUUAUUCUUCGCGGGGCACAUUCCAGUGCAGUCACACACACACACACACACACACACACCAGACACACACACACACACACACACACACACACCACACACACACACACACACACACACACACACACACACACACACACAUUCCAGUGCAUUACUGCAGC
ensembl:lncRNA